rfam:Neotoma lepida isolate 417 scaffold_487, whole genome shotgun sequence.
GGAGGGGUGGCUCAGAGGUUAAGAGCACUGACUGUUCUUCCAGAGAUCCUGAGUUCAAUUCCCAGCAACUACA